rnacentral:rRNA from 1 species
UUAAGCGACUAAGCGUACACGGUGGAUGCCCUGGCAGUCAGAGGCGAUGAAGGACGUGCUAAUCUGCGAUAAGCGUCGGUAAGGUGAUAUGAACCGUUAUAACCGGCGAUUUCCGAAUGGGGAAACCCAGUGUGUUUCGACACACUAUCAUUAACUGAAUCCAUAGGUUAAUGAGGCGAACCGGGGGAACUGAAACAUCUAAGUACCCCGAGGAAAAGAAAUCAACCGAGAUUCCCCCAGUAGCGGCGAGCGAACGGGGAGGAGCCCAGAGCCUGAAUCAGUGUGUGUGUUAGUGGAAGCGUCUGGAAAGGCGCGCGAUACAGGGUGACAGCCCCGUACACAAAAAUACACAUAUUGUGAGCUCGAUGAGUAGGGCGGGACACGUGGUAUCCUGUCUGAAUAUGGGGGGCCAUCCUCCAAGGCUAAAUACUCCUGACUGACCGAUAGUGAACCAGUACCGUGAGGGAAAGGCGAAAAGAACCCCGGCGAGGGGAGUGAAAAAGAACCUGAAACCGUGUACGUACAAGCAGUGGGAGCACGCUUAGGCGUGUGACUGCGUACCUUUUGUAUAAUGGGUCAGCGACUUAUAUUCUGUAGCAAGGUUAACCGAAUAGGGGAGCCGAAGGGAAACCGAGUCUUAACUGGGCGUUAAGUUGCAGGGUAUAGACCCGAAACCCGGUGAUCUAGCCAUGGGCAGGUUGAAGGUUGGGUAACACUAACUGGAGGACCGAACCGACUAAUGUUGAAAAAUUAGCGGAUGACUUGUGGCUGGGGGUGAAAGGCCAAUCAAACCGGGAGAUAGCUGGUUCUCCCCGAAAGCUAUUUAGGUAGCGCCUCGUGAAUUCAUCUCCGGGGGUAGAGCACUGUUUCGGCAAGGGGGUCAUCCCGACUUACCAACCCGAUGCAAACUGCGAAUACCGGAGAAUGUUAUCACGGGAGACACACGGCGGGUGCUAACGUCCGUCGUGAAGAGGGAAACAACCCAGACCGCCAGCUAAGGUCCCAAAGUCAUGGUUAAGUGGGAAACGAUGUGGGAAGGCCCAGACAGCCAGGAUGUUGGCUUAGAAGCAGCCAUCAUUUAAAGAAAGCGUAAUAGCUCACUGGUCGAGUCGGCCUGCGCGGAAGAUGUAACGGGGCUAAACCAUGCACCGAAGCUGCGGCAGCGACGCUUAUGCGUUGUUGGGUAGGGGAGCGUUCUGUAAGCCUGCGAAGGUGUGCUGUGAGGCAUGCUGGAGGUAUCAGAAGUGCGAAUGCUGACAUAAGUAACGAUAAAGCGGGUGAAAAGCCCGCUCGCCGGAAGACCAAGGGUUCCUGUCCAACGUUAAUCGGGGCAGGGUGAGUCGACCCCUAAGGCGAGGCCGAAAGGCGUAGUCGAUGGGAAACAGGUUAAUAUUCCUGUACUUGGUGUUACUGCGAAGGGGGGACGGAGAAGGCUAUGUUGGCCGGGCGACGGUUGUCCCGGUUUAAGCGUGUAGGCUGGUUUUCCAGGCAAAUCCGGAAAAUCAAGGCUGAGGCGUGAUGACGAGGCACUACGGUGCUGAAGCAACAAAUGCCCUGCUUCCAGGAAAAGCCUCUAAGCAUCAGGUAACAUCAAAUCGUACCCCAAACCGACACAGGUGGUCAGGUAGAGAAUACCAAGGCGCUUGAGAGAACUCGGGUGAAGGAACUAGGCAAAAUGGUGCCGUAACUUCGGGAGAAGGCACGCUGAUAUGUAGGUGAAGUCCCUUGCGGAUGGAGCUGAAAUCAGUCGAAGAUACCAGCUGGCUGCAACUGUUUAUUAAAAACACAGCACUGUGCAAACACGAAAGUGGACGUAUACGGUGUGACGCCUGCCCGGUGCCGGAAGGUUAAUUGAUGGGGUCAGCGCAAGCGAAGCUCUUGAUCGAAGCCCCGGUAAACGGCGGCCGUAACUAUAACGGUCCUAAGGUAGCGAAAUUCCUUGUCGGGUAAGUUCCGACCUGCACGAAUGGCGUAAUGAUGGCCAGGCUGUCUCCACCCGAGACUCAGUGAAAUUGAACUCGCUGUGAAGAUGCAGUGUACCCGCGGCAAGACGGAAAGACCCCGUGAACCUUUACUAUAGCUUGACACUGAACAUUGAGCCUUGAUGUGUAGGAUAGGUGGGAGGCUUUGAAGUGUGGACGCCAGUCUGCAUGGAGCCGGCCUUGAAAUACCACCCUUUAAUGUUUGAUGUUCUAACGUGGACCCGUGAUCCGGGUUGCGGACAGUGUCUGGUGGGUAGUUUGACUGGGGCGGUCUCCUCCUAAAGAGUAACGGAGGAGCACGAAGGUUGGCUAAUCCUGGUCGGACAUCAGGAGGUUAGUGCAAUGGCAUAAGCCAGCUUGACUGCGAGCGUGACGGCGCGAGCAGGUGCGAAAGCAGGUCAUAGUGAUCCGGUGGUUCUGAAUGGAAGGGCCAUCGCUCAACGGAUAAAAGGUACUCCGGGGAUAACAGGCUGAUACCGCCCAAGAGUUCAUAUCGACGGCGGUGUUUGGCACCUCGAUGUCGGCUCAUCACAUCCUGGGGCUGAAGUAGGUCCCAAGGGUAUGGCUGUUCGCCAUUUAAAGUGGUACGCGAGCUGGGUUUAGAACGUCGUGAGACAGUUCGGUCCCUAUCUGCCGUGGGCGCUGGAGAACUGAGGGGGGCUGCUCCUAGUACGAGAGGACCGGAGUGGACGCAUCACUGGUGUUCGGGUUGUCAUGCCAAUGGCACUGCCCGGUAGCUAAAUGCGGAAGAGAUAAGUGCUGAAAGCAUCUAAGCACGAAACUUGCCCCGAGAUGAGUUCUCCCUGACCCUUUAAGGGUCCUGAAGGAACGUUGAAGACGACGACGUUGAUAGGCCGGGUGUGUAAGCGCAGCGAUGCGUUGAGCUAACCGGUACUAAUGAACCGUGAGGCUUAACCUU